rnacentral:rRNA from 1 species
UAAGGAAUCUUCCACAAUGGACGAAAGUCUGAUGGAGCAACGCCGCGUGCAGGAUGAAGGCUUUCGGGUCGUAAACUGCUUUUAUAUGGGAAGAUUAUGACGGUACCAUAUGAAUAAGGACCGACUAACUACGUGCCAGCAGCCGCGGUAAUACGUAGGGUCCAAGCGUUAUCCGGAAUCACUGGGCGUAAAGCGUGUGUAGGUGGUUUGUUAAGUGAGAUGCGAAAUCUACGGGCUCAACCCGUAGACUGUAUCUCAUACUGGCAAACUAGAGGAUGGCAGAGGCAAGUGGAAUUAUCGGUGUAGCAGUGAAAUGCGUAGAUAUCGAUAGGAACACCAAUGGCGAAGGCAGCUUGCUGGGCCACACCUGACACUCAGACACGAAAGCGUGGGGAGCGAACAGG